AGAAUCAACGCUGGCGGCGUGCCUAACACAUGCAAGUCGCACGAGAAAGGGGAGCAAUCCCUGAGUAAAGUGGCGCACGGGUGAGUAACACGUGAAUCAUCUACCUUCGAGUGGGGAAUAACUGGGAGAAAUCUCAGCUAAUACCGCAUAAUACCUACGGGUCAAAGCAGCAAUGCGCUUGAAGAGGAGUUCGCGGCAGAUUAGUUAGUUGGCGGGGUAAUGGCCCACCAAGACGAUGAUCUGUAUCCGGCCUGAGAGGGCGCACGGACACACUGGAACUGAAACACGGUCCAGACUCCUACGGGAGGCAGCAGUGGGGAAUUUUGCGCAAUGGGGGAAACCCUGACGCAGCAACGCCGCGUGGAGGAUGAAAUAUCUUGGUAUGUAAACUCCUUUCGAUGGGGAAGAUAAUGACGGUACCAUAGAAGAAGCCCGGCUAACUUCGCGCCAGCAGCCGC
rnacentral:rRNA from 1 species